GACGAACGCUGGCGGCGUGCUUAACACAUGCAAGUCGAACGGAAAGGCCCUGGUUUUGUGGGGAGCUCGAGUGGCGAACGGGUGAGUAACACGUGAGUAACCUGCCCUUGACUUUGGGAUAACUUCAGGAAACUGGGGCUAAUACCGGAUAGGAGCUCCUGCUGCAUGGUGGGGGUUGGAAAGUUUCGGCGGUUGGGGAUGGACUCGCGGCUUAUCAGCUUGUUGGUGGGGUAGUGGCUUACCAAGGCUUUGACGGGUAGCCGGCCUGAGAGGGUGACCGGCCACAUUGGGACUGAGAUACGGCCCAGACUCCUACGGGAGGCAGCAGUGGGGAAUAUUGCACAAUGGGCGGAAGCCUGAUGCAGCAACGCCGCGUGCGGGAUGACGGCCUUCGGGUUGUAAACCGCUUUCGCCUGUGACGAAGCGUGAGUGACGGUAAUGGGUAAAGAAGCACCGGCUAACUACGUG
rnacentral:rRNA from 1 species